GUUAAGUGACUAAGCGUAUACGGUGGAUGCCUUGGCAGUUAGAGGCGAUGAAGGACGUGUAAGUCUGCGAAAAGCUGUGGUGAGCCGACAAAAUGCAUUUGAGCCACAGAUGUCCGAAUGGGGAAACCCACCUAUUUAUAGGUAUCGUUACAUGAAUAUAUAGUGUAACGAGGCGAACGAGGGGAACUGAAACAUCUAAGUACCCUUAGGAAAAGAAAUCAACCGAGAUUCCCCUAGUAGCGGCGAGCGAACGGGGAUUAGCCCUUAAGCAAUUAUGAACGUAGUGGAAGCCUCUGGGAAGUGGCGCGAUACAAGGUGAUAGCCCUGUACACGAAGUGUUUGUUUUUGUGAAAUCGAGUAGGUCGGGACACGUGUUAUCUUGACUGAAUAUGGGGGGACCAUCCUCCAAGGCUAAAUACUCCUAACUGACCGAUAGUGAACCAGUACCGUGAGGGAAAGGUGAAAAGCACCUCUGUCAGAGGAGUGAAAAAGUUCCUGAAACCGUACGCCUACAAGCGGUCGGAGCAUAUAUAUAUGUGACGGCGUGCCUUUUGCAUAAUGAACCUACGAGUUACCAUGUCCAGCGAGGUUAAGGGGUUGAGCCCCGUAUCCGUAGUGAAAGCGAGCCUAAAUAGGGCGUAUAGUUGGAUGGGGUAGACGCGAAACCAAGUGAUCUACACUUGCCCAGGUUGAAGUCCGGGUAACACCGGAUGGAGGACCGCACGGAUAAGCGUUGAAAAGCUUCCCGAUGAGGUGAGUGUAGGAGUGAAAGGCCAAUCAAACUUGGAGAUAGCUCGUACUCCCCGAAAGGCAUUUAGGUGCCGCGUGCAUCGAUAUCCAUAAGAGGUAGAGCGACCGAUAGGUCAAGAGGGCUUCACCGCCUAUCGAGACCUGACGAACUCCGAAUGCUUAUGGACUGCAGUCGUGCAGUAAGGGGGCGGGUGCUAAGGUCCGUCCCCGAGAGGAGAAGAAUCCAGACCGCCGUCUAAGGUCCCGAAAUUCUGUCUAAGUUAGUCUAACGAAGUCUGGUCCCCGUGACAGCUAGGAUGUUGGCUUGGAAGCAGCCAUUCAUUCAAAGAGUGCGUAACAGCUCACUAGUCGAGGGACUGUGCAUGGAUAAUAAUCGGGUAUGAAGCCCGGUGCCGAAGCCGUGGGAUGUCUUAUGACAUCGGUAGGGGAGCAUUCAUGCGGCCUUGAAGCCCAAGGGACGACCUUGGGUGGAGCUUCAUGAAAAGCAAAUGUAGGUAUAAGUAACGAUAAAGAGUGUGAGAUGCACUCUCGCCGAAAGACUAAGGUUUCCGGGGCAACGUUAAUCGGCCCCGGGUCAGUCGGGACCUAAGGCUCAUCCUAAUGGAGAGGCCGAUGGCAGAAACGGUUAAUAUUCCGUUACUAUCCCUUGGGGCGAUGUGGAGACGGAGGAGUGACACUUCCGCGGGCUGACGGAAUAGCCCGUUAAAGAUCGUAGGCGUUGACGAGGGCAGGCAAAUC
rnacentral:rRNA from 1 species